GACGAACGCUGGCGGCGUGCCUAAUACAUGCAAGUUGAGCGCUGAAGGUUGGUACUUGUACCAACUGGAUGAGCAGCGAACGGGUGAGUAACGCGUGGGGAAUCUGCCUUUGAGCGGGGGACAACAUUUGGAAACGAAUGCUAAUACCGCAUAAAGACUUUAAACACAAGUUUUAAGUUUGAAAGAUGCAAUUGCAUCACUCAAAGAUGAUCCCGCGUUGUAUUAGCUAGUUGGUGAGGUAAAGGCUCACCAAGGCGAUGAUACAUAGCCGACCCGAGAGGGUGAUCGGCCACAUUGGGACUGAGACACGGCCCAAACUCCUACGGGAGGCAGCAGUAGGGAAUCUUCGGCAAUGGACGAAAGUCUGACCGAGCAACGCCGCGUGAGUGAAGAAGGUUUUCGGAUCGUAAAACUCUGUUGGUAGAGAAGAACGUUGGUGAGAGUGGAAAGCUCAUCAAGUGACGGUAACUACCCAGAAAGGGACGGCUAACUACGUG
rnacentral:rRNA from 1 species